rnacentral:rRNA from 1 species
GUCCACGCCCUAAACGAUGUUUACUUGCUGUGCGGGCUUCGGCUUGCGUGGCGAAGCGAAAGCGAUAAGUAAACCACCUGGGGAGUACGCCGGCAACGGUGAAACUCAAAGGAAUUGACGGGGUCGCACAAGCGGUGGAGCAUGUGGUUUAAUUCGAUGAUACGCGAGGAACCUUACCUAGGCUAGAAUGCGGGUGGAAUCACGCUGAAAGGCGUGAGGCCGCAAGGACUGCUCGCAAGGUGCUGCAUGGCUGUCGU